UAUAAAUAAGUUCAAAUUAUUGAUUCGCAUGUAGACAGAGAUAUACCUAUGUUCCCAUGUCUAUAAAUUUAAUUUGCAGUUUUUGUGUCCAUGUUGAUAUGCGGCCUUUUGAUCCAUCUCCAAGAAUUAUCACUUUAUUCUACAGUAUUUAGUUGGUUCAUAAUAAGAAUGACUUGCUGCACAUAAAAGAAACUAUAUUUUGCAGGCAUGAAGUUUACAAGCUUCACUUUCUAUUUACUAUGCUACUUAAUCUUGAACUUUUAUGUUAUUAUUGUUAAGCCCUAUGUUGUGAUAAAUUGAUCUUUGCGACAAAAGGUGUGUAGUCAACAACAGCUGUAGAGUUGACUGGGAACCAAUUUAAAGAACUAAAUUCACAUUUUUAAUUUGGUUACAUGCAUUAAAGAAAUCGAGUUAAUGCUUAUAUUCAAUUAAAAAGAUUGAUGUCACUUCCUUAAUUUAUGAGAUGUCCUUGGAUUUACUUUUCCUCUGGUUUCCUUUUCACACAAUGUUUCCCAGUGAGUUGCAGUUUCAGAAUUUUCAGGAAAUGGUGCUGGGAUUUUGGCCUCUGCUAGCACAGUCGUUAGCACCUUCCUGCUUGUCUUUAUUGCUGAAAGGGGUGACAAAUAAUUUUUCUCUACAAUAGGUCACUGGUUAAGCAGGAAAAAUCCUGCAUUUUAUUUGUUUGCAGACUUGAAGGGAUGCAAAUUACAUAUGACAGUUUGUGCAAGACAAUCAUUUAGCCUUUGUCGAAUUCAUAAAUAUUCAAGUCAAAUGUGUUGUGCUUCUGUAUGAUGGCUAAAUUUCUUAGAUAAGAUCAAAGAUGAAUUUGUUAAAACUGGUAACAAUUGAAGCCACAUUUUGAACUCCUCUUGGAGAGAAUGUUUGAAGUCCAUUCGAUUUGUUCUCUACUGUCCAUUGAGGGAAAAAUCUAUCCAUGUUAUUGGAAACAUAUAAAUCAUAAAAAACUUGUGUUAUGAUCGGAUGUUGUAGUUGGAUUGGUUGAAUGGGUUGUUUCCUCUGGCCCCUGAUAAAGAAAGAUCUAGAAACUUUUAAUUUUUAAUUUUUAUUUUUAUUCUUACUUAAAUUUUCAUAAUGUAAUAUGCAGGUCUAAAUCUCCCUAUGCUAACAUAACUUGCUCUUCUUAUUCAGCACUUGCUGCCGCUUCUUCACCUCUUGGAAUCAUUGGGGGAGCACUAGCUGGUCACAGAGUUGCAACUUUGCUGGCUGUUUUGGGAGGUUCUUUACUGGGGACAUUCUUAUCUGAGAAGGUUAUAUUGCCUACAUUGGAGGUGCCUUUGCAGCUGUGACACUGAUAGAGAUGGUGAGUUGAGGACAUCCUCAAUUCUGCUGUUAGAUCUUCAAAUUUGCGAGCAUCUAUAAAUUUGUUGAACCAUCAUUCACUUCCAUGGAUUCAAAUAAGAUCAGAAAAUUGCAUCAGAAAGUCGGUUUUCUCCUCGAGCUACAGAUAGUAUUGUAUAGAUAGUAUGGAUAUUUAGCCAAAACUCUUCCAUUAGACCCUUAUUUGGUGAAAAUGACAACUCAAUUUAUUUUAUUUCAUAUACCC